UCCACCUUUAUACUGAUGUUGGCCUUUUA
rnacentral:piRNA from 1 species